GAGAUACUAGCUCAGUUGGUAGAGCACCUGACUUUUAAUCAGGGUGUCGCGGGUUCAAAUCCCGCGUGUCUCA
rnacentral:tRNA from 1 species